GUUUCUCUUCUGACUGGACCUAAACACUAAAUUGACCUAGAAAUAGACCCUGGAGUGACAACUGGAGAUAGACCCCACAAAAACAGAAUUUGAGGAUUGGUUUGUUCAUGCCUUUGUGCUUGAGUUCCUUGCAAAUGGUAGUAAUCCAUGGCAUGUAGGAGCAUCACAAUGAAUCAAGAAGUGCUAACUUAAAACGCAUGCUUCACGAGCCAAACACUUACUACACUUAACCCUUAUACUAGUAAGAUGACCAUAAAGACUGUGGUGUUGGGUGGAUUUUUUUUUAGUUCACCUGAAUGCUUACAAAGAAAAAAAUUACAAGCUCAAGUCCAUUAACUGCCAGCUCCCAGUCAUAGUCUGAGAAUCAAAGAACUUCUGUGGCAACUCUAAAAAAAAAAACAAAAAACAAACAAAAAACUUAGGUCUUGCAGGGAUGCCUGGGUGGCUCAGCGCAUCAUCCUGGGGUCUGCGAUCAAGUCCCACAUUGGGCUCUUUGCAGGGAGACUUUCUCCCUCUGCCUCUCUGGGUCUCUCAUGAAUAAAUGAGUAAGACCUUUAAAAAACCUAGGUCUUGUAGUCACAGAGCUGAUAUUCCUGAAAAACAACUGUACAGGGUGCUGAAUUACAACAGUUGAAUUCAGGCUCACAUUAAAGUGCACGGAUUGGUACGGAAUAAGACCCUGUGGAACCUCCUCUGUGGAUCCAGAUGAAACUGACAAUCUUUAAUGUCCAAGUCAUUCUGAAUCUCCACCCAUACCAGUUGAUGCAGACUACCCUGCAAGGUCUACAAAUAGGCCUUCCUCUGCUUAAAAACCCUAUGAUAACCUCAUGUGGGGCACACUCCUUGAAAAGGGAUGCCAUUCUCCUUAAUAUCCAGCACAACCACCUCCAAUUGCCAUGAGAGUUCUAUAACUAGGGUCAAAUAGCAUGCUCCAGGCAGCCGGCCAGGUAUACACUACAACCCACAAAGAAACCGCUUCCACACCAAACUGAAGUGGAUAGGCAAAAUACGGGAAUGCUGGCUAUUAAAUACUAAGAAACAACGGCCUAUAUGCUUGAAGUCUUCAAAAGAUGCUGAUGAGAAAUCACAACAAAAACAUUUAACAGAAUACCACAGCAUUUCAGUAAAUUAAAAAUACAUGCAUAUAAAACAUCAAUAUACAUUAAAUGCACUAGAAUGGUUGCCACUGGAGAGGGGUAAAUGGGUGUGGGAAUAAAAUGUGAAAGUGAAAUGAGAAGGGCCUUGUAUAGAUUAAUCAUCAUAAUGUACCAAAAAACUAAGGACUAGGACUCAGGAAAAAAAAAAAAAAAAAAAAAACCUUGGCUUAUUACAGGGAUUUCUAUUUCUUCCCCAAGAUUCUAACAUAAGGUAUUGGGAUCCUUCCCCCAAUUCCAGCCCUGAAGAUGACAGAUGAUGAAAUCUACUACAUGUACAGCAUUCACCAUGUGCCAGGCACUAUUAACUCAAUUUAAUCCUCAUGUUCUGAGAUAUCCUAUGCUAAGAAAUAGAUCCUCUUCUCCCCAUUUGACAGGUGAGAGAACAUGGAGAGGUUAAGUAAACUGCCUAGGGUCACACAACUGGUAAUGCUGGAGCUUGAAUUCAAACUCAAGGUAGUCUAGAUAUAACUGAAGAACACCUAAAGACUGGAGAAGGGGAGUCUAGAGCAGAGAUGGAGGUCAGGAGACAGCGAUCUAAAACUAAAAUGGAAGAGGAACAGCACCAUGAGAGGCUAGAUAAGAAAUUUCUCUCCUUUCUUUCCCCUCCCCCAACAUUACUCUGAAAAGAACCUUCACCUCAUUACCAUGUUAAGACCGGCGGUGCUGGGAUGCCUGGGUGGCUCAGCAUCUACCUUCAGCCCAGGGCAUGAUCCUAGAGUCCUGAUUGAGCCCCCACAUCAGGCUCCCUGCAUAGAGCCUCCUCUCUCUGCCCAUGUCUCUGCCUCUGUGUCUCUCAUGAAUAAAUAAAUAACUCUUUAAGAAAAAAAAAAAAAAAAACAGCGAGGCCAAGCCAGCUGGAAGUGGAUUAUAUGAUGGUAGCACUGAAGCCACUGGGGUUGACAGCAUAGUACAUGUAGUAAGAGCACACGGGUCCAUCAGCUCCCAAAACACACACACACCCCAGCCUGACAUCUUGAACCAAUAAAUACACCCUACACCCUCAAGAUAGGAAUGUGGCCAAGAUUUCCUUGAGGAAAUGGGACUAUCCCAAGAGGAAAAACAUAGUCACUGGCACCAGGGGUUCCCCAAACAGCCCCUACAGUGAAGUUCAGAGUUGAAAAACCCUCAGAGCUCAUCUCCUACUCUUAAAAUCAUGAGCAUAAACUCACAAUUUCCACUUUAAAAAGUCUCUAAACAUAGAAGAUGGAGUUUGAAGUAAAACAAAAACUCUUCAACAAUAACUUUGAGGAAAAAACAUUUCACAGAGGGAGGCGUGGGUGUCUCAGGGGUUGAGCGUAAUGCCUUUGGCUCAGGGCAUGAUUCUGGAGUUCCAGGAUCCGGUUCCGCAUUAGGUUCCUUGCAUGGAGCUUGCUUCUCCUCCCUGUGCCUGUCUCUCUCAUGAAUAAAAUCUUUAAUUAAAAAAUAAUUCCACAAAAAAUAACUUUUAAAAAUUAGUAUUUUUAGACAUAAUAUGGAGCUACAAUAACCAAGAUCAGACACAUUAAUUGAAAAAGU
rnacentral:lncRNA from 1 species